UUACGGCCAUAUCACGUUCAAACAUCGGUUCUCAUACGAUUCACCGAAGUUAUGCAACGUCGAGCCUGAUCGUACCUAGAUGGGUGACCGCUUGGGAAUACCAGGUGCUGUAC
rnacentral:rRNA from 1 species